GCCUAACACAUGCAAGUCGAACGAUAUUAACCUCGGUUAAGAUAGUGGCGUAAGGGUGAGUAACGCGUAAGAAUCUACCCUGAGGAGGGGGAUAACAGUUGGAAACGACUGCUAAUACCCCAUAUGCUGAGGAGUGAAGCGACUUCGGUCGGCCUUGGGACGGGCUUGCGUCGGAUUAGCUAGUUGGUGGGGUAAUUGCCCACCAAGGCGACGAUCAGUAACUGGUCUGAGAGGAUGAUC
rnacentral:rRNA from 1 species